rnacentral:tRNA from 1 species
AUCCGGGCGGGGGUGUCGGGCGCUCUGGCAGGCCGCUUGCGGUAUUUUGACUCCCCGUUUGCUGUGUU